rnacentral:misc_RNA from 1 species
CUUCUAUCAACUCCGGGUCAAUCACGCAGUUGUGGAAUUAUUUGAUCGCUGGUGCAGCUCUAUCUAUCUAGACACAACAUUUUCUUGACCAGAAAAUGUCAAAUGCAAGAUUAGCUUGGCUUCUUGCAGAGAAUUUAGAGGAGAAUCUCUGAGUCUCAUAUAAAACAAACACUUUGUGUUCAAAAUCAAUGAAAAUAAAGAGGAUUAAGAGAUUUUUCAUUAAGGAAAAUGGAUAUGGAAAUGGAAUUCCAAAUCAUUUCCAGAGAAACUAUUAAGCCUUCUUCUCCAACUCCAAACCACCUUAGAACUCACAAGCUUUCCAUCAUUGAUCAGCUAGCCAUUCAGUGCUAUGUCCCUGUCCUCCUUUUUUACCCUUCCAAUGGCCAAGAUUCUAGCCAACGAUCAAGUCUUCUUAAGAAAUCCUUGUCGCAGAUAUUAAACCACUUCUAUCCUUUUGCUGGAAGAGAGGUGAACAGUUCUUGGAUUGAUUGCAAUGAUGAGGGAGCAAGUUUUGUUGAAGCAAAUGUAGCUGCUGACUUGUCUAUGCUCCUCAAGCAACCUCAAUUUGAACUGUUGCAGCAACUAUUGCCCUGCAAGCCAAAUGAGAAUUCAGUUCCAUUUCGUGCCAGGGAAAUUCUAGCUGUUCAAGUGAACUAUUUUAUUUGUGGCGGGAUGACUAUUGGUGUCUGCAUUAAGCAUUUGAUUGCUGAUGCAUCGACAGUAGCAUCUUUCAUUGAACGCUGGGGUGCUGUUGCUUGUUUUGCUGAUACUGAUGUUAAUGGUGUGAUCUUGGAUCGCACUAGUCUCUUUCCUCCUAUUGAUAAAACAGAAGGCUUAUCAUGGGGUGAUAGUUCAGAUGAAGAAUUCUUACCUGAAAUUGUGAUGAAGAGGUUCUUGUUCGAUGGUUCGAAGAUUGCUGCUCUUAAGAGAGAGUUGGCAAUAGACUAUACAAAAUUAUUCCAGCAAAAUAAUGAAUUUAACACAGAAGUACAAUUCAUCAAAGUAGUUAGAAUAUACAAGAGAGAGAUGGAAGUUCUGUUGAAAGCGUUCAAAAUUGAACAAUAACUCAAGCAAUCAAAGAACCUUCUGCAAUUUUUCCUUUUUUUUUUUCCUUAAAUCUUCUGAAACAGUUUCUUGAUAAUGCCUGUAACUGAGUGGAUUGCUUAUCUUAUGGGGUGAUAUUGAUCAGAGAUGCGCUUUGGGGGCAGCUUCCGCAAGAUGAAGAGCACCAGAGCAGAUGGCACAAUCUCCACCACCAUGUAAUAGAUGAGAUUAAGAAGGGGAUGAGUUAAGACAGCAAGAUCAGCUUUCUUGUUGAAGGCUGAGACGGCAACCAUAAAACAUCUUAUCAAAAAACAAGUACAACAAAUUCCUGUCACACAGCCAACCUCAUGAAGCUUCUUUUGACGACCUCUAGAUUCAAUGGGGAAUCGGCUCAGCAUGACAAACAACCUGCCACCAUAUAUCAAGAAUCCCAGAGCAGUGCAAAAUGAAAUAACUGAAAAGAAGAGUUUUGCUACUUCCUCCCCAGCAGGACUUCCGCUUAAUCUCAUGUAUAUCCAGAUGCAUGCCUGUGUGAAGUAUACGAGUCCAUUGAUGAUAUAAUAAGAGGGCCUGAGUUUAUCAAUGGGAAGGCUUCUUGCCUGGUGAUAUAUCUCAGCCCAAAAGAGCACUAGUAAUGUAUAUGUUGAAAAGAAUAGAAGACUAGGAAGAUCCAAAAGCACAAUUUCAAGGGCCUUUGGUCUAAUGAGAAACACAUCCUUGUAUAGACCAAAAAGGAUAGCCCUCAAUCCAUUCACAAUAAAAUUCAUCAAGUGGAAAACCUUUUGCGUCGUCCACCCAUAUUCUGGUACUCUCAAUUGGAUACGAAAAAGUUGUACCAGGGCAGUGAUGGAGACCAAUGCAUAAGAUGCAGACAAGAAAUAGAAAAUGCCUCUUUGCCAUUCUUCUGAGUCAUCGAUCUCAUCCCACCAAUGGACUCUUUUUCCACUGUAAUAAAUCCAUCUAUCUCCAAUCUCAAAACUUUUAGUUCUCAAACUCCAUGCCAUUGAUUAGUAAUUGCUCUGUCCUCAGAACAAGAAACAAAGAAAGAAAGAAUCAGAAAAAAGCUGGUUUUGUUGCAGAAAGAGAGGUCGGGUUCUUGGGUUUGGACAUCUGGAGUGAAGAGAACUGAAACACGUAGAUGACACGCGUUAAUGAAUAAAAGAAGAAAAUGACUCGGUGGGGGCGGUAUAUUCGUUAAUUGCGCAACGGACAUGCUUAAGUUUAGCUUAAGCUUUGCUGUGCUUUGUUUGUAACCGGAGAUUAC